GACCCAGGUCAGGCGGGACUCCCGCUGAGUUUAGCAUAUCAAUAAGCGGAGGA
rnacentral:rRNA from 1 species